rnacentral:siRNA from 1 species
CGGCUUACGACGUCCUGGCUCGUC